GGAGGUAGGGGGGGGUGGCUGGGAGAGCAGGUUGUUGUUAUUGUUGGUGGUGCUGCUGGUUUAAAGUCUGAGGUUCCGUAAUGUCGGCGUUUUAAGUAUUCUUUUGUUAUAUGAAACUGAAAAUCGGAGGUUGACUUGAGUAAGAGAAAAAUGAGGGAGGCGGUCUGGAUGCUGCUGCUGCUGGUGCCCGUCGUUGCGCCGCUUGAUUCCCAGGGCAGGUUCUCGGCUGCUUUGCCCGGCGAGCAGCAGCAGCAACGCUUCAGCAGAAAGUUGCUGAGCGGCGGCGGCAGCGGCCAGAGGCUGCACAAGAGGCGCAUCCCCUCCUCCUCCUUCUCCAGUGGCUGCCAACAGCGACAAGGAUUUCAGGGGAAUUUAACAGCCCAUACUCACAAGUAUGAGUUUGUGGAUUUGAGUGGAUCUGUAACAUUGGCAUGGGUUGGAGAUGGAACUGGUGUACUCUUGGCCUUAACAACCUUCCAGCUGCCAUUCUUGGGAAUUAGCUUUGGACAGUCACGGUUAUACAGAAGUAAUGAUUAUGGAAAGACCUUCUCUGAUAUUACAAAACUCAUCAACAAUACUUUCAUCCGUACUGAAUUUGGAAUUGCUAUUGGCCCGGAGAAUUCUGGAAAGGUGAUCCUUACAGCUGAUGUAUCUGGAAAGAGCAGUGGCGGAAGGAUCUUCAGAUCGAGUGAUUUUGGCAAGAACUUUACCCCCAUAAAUCUUCCUUUUCACCCACUGUUGCAGAUUUUUUACCAUUCCAAAAAUUCCGAGCAUCUUCUAGCCCUCAGCAUAGAUAAUGUUUUGUGGUUUUCCUCCAAUUUUGGUGAAACAUGGAAAAAUAUUCAUGGCUUUGUCUGUCUUGUUAAGUGGGGACAAAAUGAUACUAUUUUCUUCACAACCCACCCCAAUGGGUCUUGUACUGCAAGGGGCCUGUUGGAGCUUAAAAGGACAGAUGAUUUUGGAAGAACAUUCAAAACUAUUGGAUCAAGAAUUUACUCGUUUGGCCUGGGCGGGCGUUUCCUCUUUGCAUCUGUUAUGACUGAUAAGGUCAGUUUAAGGGCACUCCAUGUGUCCGUGGAUAUGGGAGACACCUGGAAUAUGGCACAGUUGCCUCAUGUAAGUGCCGAACAGUUCUACUCCAUACUGGCUGCAAAUGAUGACAUGGUGUUCAUGCAUGUCGAUGACCCUGGUGAUACGGGCUGUGGCACAAUUUAUGUUUCAGAUGAUCGUGGAAUAGUGUAUUCUAAAUCUCUUGAAAGACAUUUGUACACAACAACAGGAGGCGAGACAGAUUUCACAAAUGUUACUUCAUUGCGUGGAGUCUACGUUAGUAGUGUACUUGCGGAAGAUGGUUCUGUUCAGUCUGUCAUUACAUUUGACAGAGGAGGAGAGUGGAAGCCCUUAAGAAAACCAGAUAAUAGUGACUGUGAUUCGACUGCCAAAAAUAAGGAUGAAUGUAGUCUGCAUAUCCAUGCGUCCUACAGCAUUUCCCAGAAACUGAAUGUACCAAUGCCACCACUGUCUGAGCCAAACGCAGUUGGCCUGAUCAUAGCACAUGGCAGUGUUGGAGAUGCAAUUUCUGUAAUGAUACCUGAUGUGUAUGUGUCUGAUGAUGGCGGAUAUUCAUGGUUUAAAGCUUUAAAGGGACCCCAUCACUAUACCAUUCUGGACUCUGGAGGCUUGAUAGUUGCAGUGGAACACAAUGAGUACAACAGUGUUAAUACGAUAAAGUUUUCUAUUGAUGAAGGCCAGUGCUGGUAUUCGUAUCAAUUUAUCAACAAGUCUAUUGUAUUCACUGGUCUUGCAUCGGAACCAGGUGCUAAAUCGAUGAAUGUCAGUAUCUGGGGAUAUGUGGAUCUCAUAUUUACACAGCACUGGGUAUCGGUCACCAUUGACUUUGAGGAACUCCUCACUAGAGAUUGUGCUGAUGAUGAUUACAUCCAGUGGCUUGCUCAUUCAAGUAAUGUUAAUGAUCCUAAUGAUGGCUGUAUGUUGGGUUACAAAGAGAAAUUCCGGCGUUUAAGAAAAUCUUCUCUCUGUCGGAAUGGACAUGACUAUAUUGUGAAUAAACAGCCCAAUGUCUGUCAGUGUACUUUGGAUGAUUAUUUGUGUGAUUUUGGUUACUAUCGAAAAGAAAAUAGCUCAGAAUGUGUAGAACAGGCCGAUUUGCAAGGACAUGAUCUGGAGUUCUGUUUACAAGGAAGAAAAGAAGUUUUGCAGACAAAUGGAUACCGAAAAAUUCCAGGAGACAGGUGUUAUGGAGGAAUACAAGUGACUCGCUCACUGAAAGACAUUAGUAAAAAAUGCGUCAGUAACUUGUUGGCUCCUGAAGAACUGUUUGAUUCACAUAGAAGCAGCUCUGUGCCAAUUAUUGCCACUGUAAUAGUAUUAUUACUGAUGCUGUUAAUCCUUGGAGUGAUUUUUAUCAAGAAAUAUGUGUGUGGCGGGAGAUUCUUGGUACAUCGAUACUCAGUCCUACAACAGCAUGCAGAGGCUACUACAGCAGAUGAACUGGACACCACUACAGCUGCCAAUAAACCAGAGUAUCAUGAUGACUCUGAUGAACUAACUGGCUGUUACUGGCUGGCUUUCUGAAAAUCAGAGGAAGAAGAAUGGACCAUAGACCACUGGAGGAGGCAGAAAAUAAUGAAAAGGAGCAGGAUCUCCUGGAAUAGACUGAUUUUUAAAAAGAAAAUUUGGAGUUACAAGAUGCUCUUCAUGCCAAACAAACGGCACCUUAGUAUUUAGAGAUGCUGUUGCCUCCAUCUGAUAGUCUCUAUCAACUACCUGCACUCUGAUUUUACAGCAUCAUACAAAGGCAGUGUAACUUUUUUUAUGAAUGUGAUAAAUCUAGAUCUGCAAUCUCAAAUUUCACAGAUGAGACUGCUUCUGGUCCUGGCAUACUGGAACUGUUUUGAAAGUUUUGUUUUAUGUGGGAGAGGGAGAGGGAAGAUGCUAAUGAAUUGGUGUCAAUCAGAGAUGUGUUUUUUAAAGAUGGGAAAUUCGUAGUUUUGAAAUAUGAUUAAUUUGCAGAAUUACAUUUUAAAAAUCUGCUUCUGGGUACAUAACUGCAAGCUUUUGUGGGCCUUUUAUAUGAUUAUACAUUCUUGAACAGAGUGCAUUAACCAACACUUUUAUUUCUCACCAAGGCUGACUUGUGUUACAAAUUAAAUGUAAGCAGUGAAUUUUUAAAUGAAUGCAUAUAUUCCAUCUUUGAAAAUAAAUGCCACUGAAUGUAGAAUUCCAGAUAAUAAGCUCAAAUAAAAUUUGGUCUUCAGAUUACAGAAGCAGGCAUUUAUUGUGGCAAUGCUUUUUCCAAAAUGUCUUCAUAUUGUGUGACUCCUUAUUGGCCUUGUGUAACAAUUUUCGUAUCAGACCCUUUUAAUUAGGAAAGUUAAGUUUUCAAGAGCAUUGUCCUGCUAAGAACACUCCUUUAUUUGUACACCUCUGUGUACUUGAUAUAUGUAAGAAGUAUUAGAGAUACACAUUGAUUCAUGAAAUACUCCAGUAUUUUAUGAAAUAAGAGAUCAGUUGUUAGUUGAUUUCGGAAGUUAGUUUGCCAUUUGAAAGUCUUAAGCCUCAUGCCACGAAAAAUUGAUUGAGGGCUUUUCACAUACUUAGAAUAUCAAAAUCUUAAUCAAUUGUCAACUGUAAUUUAAUUCUAUUAAAUUAAAAACUAAUGCUUGUGCCCUGACUUGCUGCACUUUUACUGUUUCUUUCAUCGCUGCUAUAAAGAACAGAAGGCAUAUAAACAAAAUACAAUACAUGGAUUAUAAAAGUAAUUUAGAAUGACAUCAGGUAUAUAUGCAGGUACAUUUACAGCAUGAAUUGGCUCCACCUAGUGUUCUACCUUUUAUCUUUAUAAUGGUAAUCUGGGAAAUAAUUUGAAACCAUACAUUCAUGUACAUUAGGGUAUCUUUUUUAAUGGAAAUGUUAUCCCGUUUCAGAACUAGCAAGUUGUGUAUUAUGUGCAGAAUUUACUUGUUGAAUACCUAUUUCAUUACUCUGUUGACAACUGUUAAUUUAUUUGCUUUGAUUCCUUUGUUCCUUAACACAGUUUUUGGAAUUGGAAACAUGAACAUGCUAUAAUGUAAAAUAGUUAUGUUUUUUUCUUUUUAUAAGAUCAUUAUUGCAUUGUUUAUUGUUUGCUUAUGUAUUCAUGUGCUUUAGGCUACUCUUCCUUUGUAAGCAGGUGGGAAAGAUUCCAGGACAGAAAAUUUUUUCAGUAAACAAUGUUGUAAUUCCAACACUUAAAACUCCAGCUAUGCAGCAAGCGUAUGCUCUGAGUGCAUGAAUAAUAUGCAGUACAGUGCUGUGAUGUAGGACUUGGUACUUUUUAUUGUAGUGAUGUUACAUAAGAAGCUGUUGAUUACCUCCGUGUACAUGUUCCAAGAUACAUCAUCCACUCUUAUCCAUGUGCGACGUUAAGAAUAAAGUAUCACACUGAAUCCCUUUACUUAUUUCCUUAGCUCCUUUUAUAAGCAUUGUAUAGUUUCAGAUCAUGGCUCUUAAAAUUACUGAGCAGUUUUAAACUUGAUCAUGACAGUUGAAUAUUCAAAUGAAUAUGCACAUGUUGACUGAGGAUCAUAUAUCUUUGACUAAGACAUAAAUUUUGUAGGAGUGUAAGUUUCUACUUGAUUUGUCAUGAUUAAUUGCAAAAAGUUUUCAUGAUUUUUAUUUCAUUUCAUCUUUAUUGACCUCAGUCAAACAGGGGAUGAAGAUACAAAAUCAUGGGUCUCAGGAAGUCUUAGCAUAUGAUGUAUGUUUAUGGUUCCAAAUAGCCUUAAACUGAUUAAUAGAAUAGAAUUGAUUUCUGUAUCUUUCUAUAUUUGAUGCUACAUUCGAAAAAAUUUCUAGUAUAAUUGAAACAUAUAUUUUCAAGUUGUUUUCUAAUCAUCAAUAUUAUAAACCAUCAUAAACUAGAACUGAAUUAUACAUAUACUAUAGUUCAAGAAAUCUUGAUCAAGCUAUAUUCUGCAAUCUGCAUUAAAAGUUUGAUUUGAUUACCACAGUUGCUCAUGCGCUCAAAUCGAACAAUUAAAGUUUAUAGCUAAUACAAGGCUUGCUCAGCUCAGUGUUUGUGAUGGGUCUUUGCUAGAAAUAAUCUAAAACAAAACCCACUGUGCUACUGUCAUAUAGCCCUGUAUUUUGGUCCUGCAAAUAUUUAUCCAAUUUUCUGUUAAAAGAUGUUCAGAUUUAAUGACGUGAAUGUUAUGUCCACAACUUUGUUUGCAGCUACAAUAGGUAGAUGCAACAGAGUGCUGUUAAAGCUCUGGAUGGUACAGGUCUAAUAUUAAUCCAAUCCAUGAAACUGGAAUGCGUUUGGUAUGACAAUUUGUGUCUCAUCAGCCUUGACCUAAAUGGAUGCAGAUAAAGCUGCUUUACAUUUAGUUUCCCCCCUACUUGCUUUUAGAAACUGCCAUCUUUUGAGUGUAUGAUUUUCAUUGCAUGUGCUUGUGUAUGAUGCAGUGACGGUAUAUAAGUGUUCUGUUCACCUGAUGUGUCUAUCUUACGAACUGAGAGAAUAGUAUUUAAACCAAAGCCACAUGUUCUGAAGAUCUAUGGUAUUUGGUCAUCUGCAGAAGUUUAACAUGGGAUGAUCACUCUUGCACAUAAUUUAUGCCCCCACACAUAUCUAAUAUCACCCUUUAGCUUUCCUCUUGAUGCUGAGCUCAUUGCUGUUGUUGCUUUGCUUCUUCUUUGGUUGUAUCGGCAUCAUAGACUAACAUCCGUGUUCCGCCAACAUUCAUGAAUAUGGCUAACAAUAUGAAAAUGACCAGAUAAUAUCUUUUUGUGAUGUUGAGUGAAGAAUAGAUAAUAACAUCCGCAAUGCAGCGAGAGCUAGCAAGCUGAUCCAUCUUUAAAAAUUCACUACAAUGUGUUUUUUUUUUUGCUGAUUCACUUGUUUCUUGAACAAGGUUGAUCAUUGUGUUCUGUUGUGAAUCAAUCCCUAUGUAUUUUGAAUUAAGCUGGUGGUUUUUCUAUAAAUUUCAAAUUGUACAGUGCAAAUGGAAAAGGACUAUGGAAAGUAACAUUAUACGCGAAGGUGUUAUGUCCCAACAAUUGAGACUAUUAAAUUGUGCUAUACGUUUUUAAUGCAUAAGUCAUGAUCUGUAUUACAAAUGUAAUAGAAUUAAUUUAUGAUUUGAUUUCAUCAGUAAUUUUGACUAGACCUAACUAGAGGGAUUUCAAAAGCCAAUAGAAAACAAAAUAUUUUAUGAACAUUGUUGAAUUAGUUGCUUUAUCCUCUGAAUGCUGGUGUAUUUUCAGUGAUUAAAUCUCAAGCAUUUUUGCUUCCUAAUUUAUGUGAAUAAAAUCAUCUGGAUCUUA